GCCAGUCUGGUGUAGUGGUUUGAGUGUUAGACCACAACUCUGGAGAUCAGGGUUUGAUUCCCUGCUUGAGCA